UGGGGAAUAUUGCACAAUGGGCGGAAGCCUGAUGCAGCAACGCCGCGUGCGGGAUGACGGCCUUCGGGUUGUAAACCGCUUUCGCCUGUGACGAAGCGUGAGUGACGGUAAUAGGUAAAGAAGCACCGGCUAACUACGCGCCAGCAGCCGCGGUGAUACGUAGGGUGCGAGCGUUGUCCGGAUUUAUUGGGCGUAAAGGGCUCGUAGGUGGUUGAUCGCGUCGGAAGUGUAAUCUUGGGGCUUAACCCUGAGCGUGCUUUCGAUACGGGUUGACUUGAGGAAGGUAGGGGAGAAUGGAAUUCCUGGUGGAGCGGUGGAAUGCGCAGAUAUCAGGAGGAACACCAGUGGCGAAGGCGGUUCUCUGGGCCUUUCCUGACGCUGAGGAGCGAAAGCGUGGGGAGCGAACAGGCUUAGAUACCCUGGUAGUCCACGCUGUAAACGGUGGGUACUAGGUGUGGGGUCCAUUCCACGGGUUCCGCGCCGUAGCUAACGCUUUAAGUACCCCGCCUGGGGAGUACGGCCGCAAGGCUA
rnacentral:rRNA from 1 species